UGCGUGUGUGUGUGUGUGCGCGUGUGUCCUUGCACAUCUACGUGAGCUUUCCCCACCCCACCCCGAUAAGCAAGUCCGUGGACAGAACACGUGCAGAAGCAUCAGGAGUACCUAACUUUGAUUGUUCUCGGGUUGAAUUAUUUGAAAAGAAAUGAAAUAUGAAACGAGAUUGCUUUCAAUGUUUUGAACUGGAACGAGAGAACACGUUCUUUUCUUGCUGGUGCGUCUUCUCGGCCUGCGUCUGAAUCGAUAUCGUCAGGAAAUCCAGUCUCUCUCAUCAUCCAGCAAAUUGGCACUGGAGGCGCACUGUGCAAAUCAGGAGCUUAUUUAUGAGCCACAAUGUGGGAGGAAACCGGAGGGCCCGGAGGAAACACGCAGGCACGGGGAGAACAUGCAAACUCCACACAGGCGGGUCUGGGAUUGAACCCGGGACCUCAGACCUGUGAGGCCAAGGCUUUACCAGCUGACCCACUGUGCUGCCACUCAUUUAGAAAAGAGUAGGCGCCUGUAGGCUAUGUGUGCAUCUCCCACUGUACCUGAGUGGCCUACGACAUCACUCAAUGAGGAGGAAAUAUGAUCGGACAGCUCACAUAUUUGCAAGGCUUCAAUAUUCUUUCCAAUCCCAAAUCAGAUUUAUGCAUUUUUUACAUAUUCAUUCUGCUCGUGCCAAUGUGGUGUAAAUUGAGUUGAUUGAUUUGCAUACACACUGUCUCUGCUGUGGUUCAAUUAUGGCUCAUAUAUUUUCUUUCUC